rnacentral:rRNA from 1 species
AGGGCAAGUCUGGUGCCAGCAGCCGCGGUAAUUCCAGCUCCAAUAGAGUAUAUAAACGUUCCUGCAGUUAUUCGAUGCUCGUAGUUGGAUUUCUGAGGUUGAGACGGGAGGGUGGCUAUGGCCAUCGCCCGACUCUUUCCUCAUCCACCUGUUUGCGAAGUCCGGGAUUGAUUUCUCGGCUUCGGGCGCAGUAUCUUACCAUUUCAAUAUUCGUAGUCUUCAUCGAUUAUGUUGUUUCUUUGAGCAAAUUAUAGUGUUUCAGGCAGGCGUGCGCCGGAAUACAUUAGCAUGGUAUAAACGAAUUGGACCGUGUGCCCGUAACUGGGCUUCUCCUUAUUGUUGGUUUGAAGGACACGGAGAUGGUUAAUAGGGACAGCGUUUAUUUCACAAGGAGGCAUUAGUAUUUAAUUUCCAGAGGUGAAAUUCUUUGAAAUAUUAAAAGACUAACUUAUGCGAAAGCAUCGUUUGCCAAUGAUGUUUUCAUUAAUCAUUGAACG